CACCGCUGCAAGAGGGGAAGUUGCUACUGUGAUGAAUUCUGCCAUGUGGCACCAGACUGCCACCCAGACCACAGUGUCCUCUGCAACCCUGCUUCUCAGAUGACCAAGAUGGUGCUGCAGAUGGUGCUGAGGAUGGAGAACCCACCAAGCCCCGCUAGGAGCCACCUAGACUGGAUGCAGAGCAUGGCCCAUCAGAAACUCAAAAGAAUGCGACCUUUGUCUCUCACCCACCUGUGACCUGGAAGCUUUCUCCUGGCUGCGAGUUGUCCCACAUUUGCUUGGCGUUGCCCGGCCUUUUCCAGACUGAACCAAUGUUCAUCUUACAUGUGUUGAUUGAUGUCUCAUGUCUCCCUAAAACGUAUGACCACCUUGGCACAUGUCGUCAGGACAUCCUGAGGCUGUGUCACGGGUGUGCAUCUUCAACCUUGGAACAAUAAACUUUCUAAAUUAACUGA
ensembl:lncRNA MUC20-OT1 MUC20 overlapping transcript